GACAAAGCUGAGCAGCCUAAAAAGAGACGUAAAACAAGCAAAGAAGCUGAAACACAGGACUCUUCAGAGGGAACCGACAAAAAGCAAAGAAGGCAGAAACCCGACGGAGACUCCAAGGAACCCAAGAAGAAGAAGAAGACGACAGCGAAACUCAAAGCUCUCCUCCCCGGUAAACCACGUGGUUGGUCCAUGUCGAUGGGGGGCACUGGGCUUCAAAGCCCCCGUCUGAAGCCCCCACUUCAUCUUCCAAACUCUUUGUCUCCACAGAGAACCAAGACGCAGAGAAGCCAGAGCGCAGUAGGAAAAGGAAGCAGGACGGGGGGAACGCGAGCGCCCCCUCCACGGCCAAGAGAAGGCGG
ensembl:lncRNA